GAACGAAAACUCUUGGUUCGAACAUUUGAGGAGCUACUUCUCUGAGUCUCAACUCCUACUGUAGGAACUGCCCUCAGAUUUCUUUAGUAGAGGAGUUGAGGGGUAUGACUCCUUGGACUUCUCCCAGAAGCUUAGAGUCCUAUCUUUCCUUUGUGAUGAGGCCCUUGGCACCAAAUCACUGAGCAAUUUCAUAGAAAGCCAAAAAGAAAUAUUCUCUAAAAGUAAGAUCGCAGCAAAACGAAAGUAUCUGCUGCGAAGGCUAAGGAGAUAAGUAUCAAGCAGCAGUAGAAAGCAGAGGUGGCCAAGGCCAAGGCAGUUACUGCAGGAGACAAUGCUGCUUCAAUUUCUUCAGAUCACGAAUCUACUGUUUCGCAACUGAAGAGUGAAGCAGCUCAAGAUCAUGCAGAGUUGCUUGAAGCAAAAGCCUUGAAAUCAAGGAUGAUAUGACAAGAUUCUGUGCGAACAGAGCCUUAUCUGUUCGAUGCUGAUAGUCGUGCAUUUUGGAGAUUGACAGGCUAUGGUGAUGGAGAUGAUGUGCUGCUUCAAGAUGUAGGAACUGGGGAUCCAUUUACAUCUUCUGAUGAAAAAUGGGUUCCAGUAUGAGGCAGAAAAGAAAGAAGCAGUUGAAAAAUACUGCUCCUGUAAGG